GUAACUUUCGGUUUGGGCUCUGCUGAUGCGGAUUCAGCCGCCCCGGAGCACCCCUGAGAUUUUAAAAGUUUUGAUACGGUGCUACACUGCCUUCCUGUGAGCCCCUUCACUGGCCGAACGUGCCCAACCCCAAAGAAAGCACCCAGACAGCUGAUUGAUGUGGCAGGAGGUGACUGCGGCAGGUCCGUCUCGGGCUGAGCCAUGGCUUCUAAGGCAGCGGCUGCGACCCUGGACUCCACCUUCAUAUCUCUAAAGAUCUGACUGUUGGACAGUCAUUGGAGUGGAUCUACAGGACAAUUCACAAGACCUUGCAGGACUGGAUAAAGAAACCUACCUCACAGUCAAACACAUCAUGAGCCUUACCUCAGCUGUCAUCCUGCUUGCGCUGAGCUGCCUAGCAGCUGCCUGGAUCGUCCCUCAACCACGACAGAACAACUGGGUGACCCUGGCACACACACUUUAACAAGACAAUAUCUGCCUGUCCACUGCAGCAGCAAAAGACCCUAUGUCCACCUGUCUGGUAGGAAUCCCACUGCAGGCUUGUCUCUAUUGGACACUCAUGGUUAGGUUCUUUCUCCCCUUGAACUGAAAUUGAUGAGAAGGAGGCAGUUUUUUCUCUUGUUCGGAAUUGG